ACGACAGGCAUUUUCCACAAAAGUUUCUCUCCAUCAGUCAAGCCAGGGACUGUUUUCUAAAGGCACGACAAAAGCAGUGAAUUCCCUCGUUAUAAAUCUCCUUGCAGGGAGCCAGCUUUGCAGUUGAGUGCCAACUUCCUCUGCCCAAGUUUCCUCUGUCCACACCGCAUGGGUUUGGCCUGGAAGUCUCAUGGAGUGUAUUGCCUGAGGUGGACUUCAAGGGAGGAUUUAACAUCACCGUGUUUCUGUCUGGGGACCAUUCCACAGAAUUUUAACCAGAUUAUAAAAAGCAGUGUCUUUAAUCUGAGAGGCCAUCAUUUUCAGGAUGACAAGAUAUGACAAAAUAGAAUAAAACUGAUCUGUGAGUUCAAUGAAGAAGACUGAGAAGACCAAAUGAGAAAACUGAGACAACAGAAGCUAAUUACCUUGCCCAAGAUCAUACUAUUAUAAAACAGCAAAGCCGUGACUCAAACCCGGAACCCCAUGCCCUUAACCUACAUUAAAAAGACUGAUUCCUACAGCCCAGAGUAACUGAAACAGAAUCUCUGGGACUGGAUCCCCCAAAUUUUACAUUUUUAA